rnacentral:tRNA from 1 species
GCUUUCCUGUGGCUCAGUUGGUAGAUCAUUGUGCUAACAACGCAAAGGUUGUGGGUUUAAAACCCAGGGAAAGCA